rnacentral:lncRNA from 1 species
GUUCCAGGCUGAGCCCGGAUGCUGAUGGUGCUGCGUGGCCUGCGGGGCGUGGCGGAAAGUAAUCAGCAAAUAACCCAAGGAUCUUCCCGGGAAGGUGCACAGUCCUACCGAAGUGCCUUUAUUCUUCCGCUUCUCAUCCCCUCCACCGUCUUCACCGUCAUCUGAGUCUCCAUCACUAUCUAGUGCCGGGAGCUCUGGGUCCAGGGGCGGCUCAUACAGGGCUGUGUUUAAUGGCAAGUACCGAAGCUCAUCUGGUGAGUACCUAAAUUCAGAAAGGUUGCUUUCAUUUGCCCUUGAAUAUCAAGUGUGUACAAACUACCUUUAAGCUAUGAAAUUUGCUUUAUGCUUCUCACAUAUACUUCACACAAAUGGGCAGGG